rnacentral:rRNA from 1 species
CCUACGUGUGGCAGCAGUGGGGAAUAUUGCACAAUGGGGGGAACCCUGAUGCAGCGACGCCGCGUGAGUGAAGAAGUCUUUCGGUAUGUAAAGCUCUAUCAGCAGGGAAGAAAAUGACGGUACCUGACUAAGAAGCCCCGGCUAACUACGUGCCAGCAGCCGCGGUAAUACGUAGGGGGCAAGCGUUCUCCGGAUUUACUGGGUGUAAAGGGAGCGCAGACGGCUGUGCAAGUCUGGAGUGAAAGGCAGGGGCCCAACCCCCAGACUGCUAUGGAAACUGUAAAGCUUGAGUGCAGGAGAGGUAAGCGGAAUUCCUAGUGUAGCGGUGAAAUGCGUAGAUAUUAGGAGGAACACCAGUGGCGAAGGCGGCUUACUGGACUGCAACUGACGUUGAGGCUCGAAAGCGUGGGGAGCAAACAGGAUUAGAUACCCUUGUAGUC